GUCACAGGUUAAGGUCAUGUCUGAAAUUGGUCUGGUAGCUCGAGAGGUGUCAGUUCACCUCCUGAGCACUACAUAGGUGAACCUUCUUUCAUAGCCUCCCUGUGUCCUUAUAUGCAAAUUGAACUUCCUCACAGUCUGAUAUAAAGACUCGACAUCAGGCUGUGAGUCAGAGAAGAACAGAAGCUCCAUCAGAUCACUUCAAGUGAAAAAAUGUUCUCUGUAGAUCUGAUUCUACUGCUGGCUGCUGAAUCAUGUGUGCACUGUAUUGAUCUCAUCACACCAGGCUCAAUGGUUGUGCAGCCUGGACAGACUCUGACCCUCACCUGUCAGGUCUCUGGUUACUCUCUGACUGAUAGCAGCCAUGCAACAGGUUGGAUCAGACAGCGUGAAGGGAAACCGAUGGACUGGAUCUCUCAUCAGCGGGGAGGAAGCUCUGGGAGCUUUUACCAAAAUAAUGCUCUGAAGAACAAGUUCAGCUACAGGACAGACAUGUCUGCUAGAACAAUGACUCUAACAGGACAGAGUCUGCAGCCUGAAGACACUGCUGUGUAUUACUGUGUGAGAGACCCACAGUGAGAGACAAUAACAGGAGAGUCAUAC